rnacentral:lncRNA from 1 species
GUCGCUCUUCACUAUACUACUACCUGUCGAUACAUUUAUUUUUGGCAUUGCACAAGUCAUGUCUUCUUUGACUAUUAAUGACGUUAAAAUACUAAAUCCCUGUGAUGUGUUUUAGUCGAUUUUAGUAUCUGAUGCAUGAUUUUUUACUAUUAAUUGGUUUUGGCUUUUAACUAGCUGUCAGUAACUGCGAGUACUCUCAAAUCGUAUUUUCUUGUUAAUUCGACCUGUUGAUACUGUUUAUAAUGCUUUUUUUUGUUAUUUUUUAUUUAUAUGGAUCUUGUCUGUACACCAGCUUUGAUUAUUUGUAAUAUCCUCAAUUUUUCACUUAUUCUUACAACAUUUGUAUAAACUUCAAGAUUAUAAAAAACCGGUUUUUUUCUAUAGUGAACAUUGAUUGGUUAAAUAUUUCUCAGUGUGUUUGAAUUUGUUUGUCAGCUUUUUGGUCAUGAAUGUUUGUCUCUAAUAUUUAUUUAACUGUGCAUUUG